CCUACGGGUGGCUGCAGUGGGGAAUAUUGCACAAUGGGCGCAAGCCUGAUGCAGCCAUGCCGCGUGUGUGAAGAAGGCCUUCGGGUUGUAAAGCACUUUCAGCGGGGAGGAAGGCGGUGAGGUUAAUAACCUCAUCGAUUGACGUUACCCGCAGAAGAAGCACCGGCUAACUCCGUGCCAGCAGCCGCGGUAAUACGGAGGGUGCAAGCGUUAAUCGGAAUUACUGGGCGUAAAGCGCACGCAGGCGGUCUGUCAAGUCGGAUGUGAAAUCCCCGGGCUCAACCUGGGAACUGCAUUCGAAACUGGCAGGCUAGAGUCUUGUAGAGGGGGGUAGAAUUCCAGGUGUAGCGGUGAAAUGCGUAGAGAUGUGGAGGAACACCAGUGGCGAAGGCGGCUCUCUGGCCUGUAACUGACGCUGAGGCGCGAAAGCGUGGGGAGCGAACAGGAUUAGAUACCCUAGUAGUC
rnacentral:rRNA from 1 species